GAUGAACGCUGGCGGCGUGCCUAAUACAUGCAAGUAGAACGCUGAAGGAGGAGCUUGCUCUUCUGGAUGAGUUGCGAACGGGUGAGUAACGCGUAGGUAACCUGCCUGGUAGCGGGGGAUAACUAUUGGAAACGAUAGCUAAUACCGCAUGACAACAGUUAUUGCAUGAUAACUGUUUAAAAGGGGCAACUGCUCCACUACCAGAUGGACCUGCGUUGUAUUAGCUAGUUGGUGAGGUAACGGCUCACCAAGGCGACGAUACAUAGCCGAACUGAGAGGGUGAUCGGCCACACUGGGACUGAGACACGGCCCAGACUCCUACGGGAGGCAGCAGUAGGGAAUCUUCGGCAAUGGACGGAAGUCUGACCGAGCAACGCCGCGUGAGUGCAGAAGGUUUUCGGAUCGUAAAGCUCUGUUGUAAGAGAAGAACGAGUGUGAGAGUGGAAAGUUCACACUGUGACGGUAUCUUACCAGAAAGGGACGGCUAACUACGUG
rnacentral:rRNA from 1 species